rnacentral:rRNA from 1 species
AUUGAACGCUGGCGGAAUGCUUUACACAUGUAAGUCGAACGGCAGCACGGACUUCGGUCUGGUGGCGAGUGGCGAACGGGUGAGUAAUGUAUCGGAACGUGCCCAGUCGUGGGGGAUAACGUAGUGAAAAUUACGCUAAUACCGCAUACGAUCUAUGGAUGAAAGCGGGGGAUCGCAAGACCUCGCGCGAUUGGAGCGGCCGAUAUCAGAUUAGGUAGUUGGUGGGGUAAAGGCCCACCAAGCCAACGAUCUGUAGCUGGUCUGAGAGGACGACCAGCCACACUGGAACUGAGACACGGUCCAGACUCCUACGGGAGGCAGCAGUGGGGAAUUUUGGACAAUGGGCGAAAGCCUGAUCCAGCCAUUCCGCGUGCAGGAUGAAGGCCCUCGGGUUGUAAACUGCUUUUGUACAGAACGAAAAGGUUUCUACUAAUACUAGGAGCUCAUGACGGUACUGUAAGAAUAAGCACCGGCUAACUACGUGCCAGCCGCCGCGGUAA